rnacentral:rRNA from 1 species
AGAGUUUGAUCCUGGCUCAGGACGAACGCUGGCGGCGCGCCUAACACAUGCAAGUCGAACGAGAGAUGAGGAGCUUGCUCUUCAAAUCGAGUGGCGAACGGGUGAGUAACGCGUGAGGAACCUGCCUCAAAGAGGGGGACAACAGUUGGAAACGACUGCUAAUACCGCAUAAGCCCACGGUGCCGCAUGGCGCAGAGGGAAAAGGAGCAAUCCGCUUUGAGAUGGCCUCGCGUCCGAUUAGCUAGUUGGUGAGGUAACGGCCCACCAAGGCGACGAUCGGUAGCCGGACUGAGAGGUUGAACGGCCACAUUGGGACUGAGACACGGCCCAGACUCCUACGGGAGGCAGCAGUGGGGAAUAUUGCACAAUGGGGGAAACCCUGAUGCAGCGACGCCGCGUGGAGGAAGAAGGUCUUCGGAUUGUAAACUCCUGUUGUUGAGGAAGAUAAUGACGGUACUCAACAAGGAAGUGACGGCUAACUACGUGCCAGCAGCCGCGGUAAAACGUAGGUCACAAGCGUUGUCCGGAAUUACUGGGUGUAAAGGGAGCGCAGGCGGGAAGACAAGUUGGAAGUGAAAUCCAUGGGCUCAACCCAUGAACUGCUUUCAAAACUGUUUUUCUUGAGUAGUGCAGAGGUAGGCGGAAUUCCCGGUGUAGCGGUGGAAUGCGUAGAUAUCGGGAGGAACACCAGUGGCGAAGGCGGCCUACUGGGCACCAACUGACGCUGAGGCUCGAAAGUGUGGGUAGCAAACAGGAUUAGAUACCCUGGUAGUCCACACCGUAAACGAUGAUUACUAGGUGUUGGAGGAUUGACCCCUUCAGUGCCGCAGUUAACACAAUAAGUAAUCCACCUGGGGAGUACGACCGCAAGG